AACGAACGCUGGCGGCAUGCCUAACACAUGCAAGUCGAACGAAGGCUUCGGCCUUAGUGGCGCACGGGUGCGUAACGCGUGGGAAUCUGCCCCUCGGUUCGGAAUAACAGUUAGAAGUGACUGCUAAUACCGGAUGAUGACUUCGGUCCAAAGAUUUAUCGCCGAGGGAUGAGCCCGCGUAAGAUUAGGUAGUUGGUGGGGUAAAGGCCUACCAAGCCGACGAUCUUUAGCUGGUAUGAGAGGAUGAUCAGCCACACUGGGACUGAGACACGGCCCAGACGCCUACGGGAGGCAGCAGUGGGGAAUAUUGGACAAUGGGCGAAAGCCUGAUCCAGCAAUGCCGCGUGAGUGAUGAAGGCCUUAGGGUUGUAAAGCUCUUUUACCUGGGAUGAUAAUGACAGUACCUGGAGAAUAAGCUCCGGCUAACUCCGUGCCAGCCGCCGCGGUAA
rnacentral:rRNA from 1 species